rnacentral:rRNA from 1 species
CCCUUAGAUGUCCUGGGCCGCACGCGCGCUACACUGACAGGUUCAACGAGUUUAUUCCUUGCCCGAUGGGGCUGGGUAAUCUUUUAAACGCCUGUCGUGCUGGGGCUUGACAAUUGCAAUUAUUUGUCACCAACGAGGAAUUCCUAGUAAGCGCAAGUCAUCAGCUUGCGUUGACUACGUCCCUGCCCUUUGUACACACCGCCCGUCGCUGCUACCGAUUGACUGGAUCGGUGAGGUCUACGGAUUGGCGCGUGGCCUGUGGCAACACAGCUACGCGCCGAGAAGUUACCCAAGCCACUUCAGUUAGAGGAAGCAAAAGUCGUAACA